UGGGGAAUAUUGGACAAUGGGCGCAAGCCUGAUCCAGCAAUGCCGCGUGAGUGAUGAAGGCCUUCGGGUCGUAAAGCUCUUUUACCAGGGAUGAUAAUGACAGUACCUGGAGAAUAAGCUCCGGCUAACUCCGUGCC
rnacentral:rRNA from 1 species